UGAGGGCAUUAUGCUACGUGAAGGAAGACACGUGCUCACACACACACAGGGUCCUCCAUGAUUCUAACACGUGAGUUCCUGGAAAUGGUGGGAAAUCCUGUGGGAAACAGGAAGCAGAACAGUGGGCAGCAGGAGCUGGGUAGGAGGAAGUGGGUGGUGCUGUUCAGGGGGUAGAGUUUCAGUUUUACAAGGUCAAACAUUUCUGAAGAUCUGCCGCACAAGAAGUGGAACACAAUGGAACCAUGCACCUAAGAUGUGAGCAUGACGUACUGUAGGAAUUUUUAAGUCUGACCAAAGAAAUUGAUUUAAAGAGAAUAAUGAUGAUUCUUUGCCACCUACUUUACCCAGAAGUCCCGGGAAUCACUGUUGCUUCUGGUCAGUGCUCCUCCACAUGAGGUGGGGAUAGUGGCCCUCCUCCAUCAGUGGCGCUCGGCUGUGUUCUGGCUGUCACAGCUCCGGUGAGAAGAGGCCUGGAGUCGCCAAGCACACUGAGGUGCCCAGGAUGGCUCCCUACACCAGCAAGGGGCUGCCUGUCCACAGCGCGAGCCCUGUCCUGGGCUGCUUAUCACCGGGUGUUGUGUCACCCAGCCUUUCCCUCCUUAACUGGGGUGGAGGCUGCUGAAGGUGUGUGGGACUGAGUGGAGAGAAAAGAGAGAGGAUGCUUUUGUACAAUGAUUAUUGAAGCCAUAAAGGAAAAUGAGAGUAGGGGCAGAGAAAGGAAAUAUGGACAGGCAGAUAGGAAAGACAUCAAGUAGAUCACUUUUGAGCCACUGUGUAGAGGACUCUUCACAUAUAAUCCUUAACUUCUCUGAGAUUAUGCAAACUCACAGGGAAGAGGUGGGCAUUCAUACCUAUAAGCUGGCACUCUGGGAGGCUGAGGCAGAAGGAUUGCAAGUUCAAGUCCAGCCUGGGAACCUUGGAGAAAUCCUUUCUCAAAAAUGAAAAGAAAACAAAAAGGGCUGGAGAUGAAGCUCAGGGUGAAGACCUUGGGCUCAACCUGCGAGACUGGGAAAGAAUGUUUCCACGUAGAUGAAAUAGGGGAGGAAAUCGUGUGUGUGAGCAGGCUUAGCAACUUCCUCUGAGGGGAGGCUGCGUGUUUGUCCCACGUGGCGCUGGGCUGCAGAGCUGCACCCUGUGCCCGCGACAUGAUGGGAAACGGUGGCAGGCUCUCUAGGAAGUGGAAGUGGGACUGAGGGGAAACUCCUGAUACCUUUCUCUUGCCGCUGGAGGGGCCGCUGGUUUGGCCAGCGCUGUCACACGCCUGCCCACACUUCAGAGUGACUCUUGCCAAUGCGAAGAGGGGUUGGGGGGCACCGGACCGGCUCAGAUCAGGAGAAAGGGGUCUGGGCCCAUUAUUACCAUCCCCAUCCUUCCCAAAACCCAGUAGCUGGAAGGACACAGCCGGCUGUCCCGAUUUUCCCAUUGCCACCCACAGCUGCCCACCAGACUGCUGCAGGGCCACACAGCUGGGCUUCUGUAGGUGCCCUGCAUCCACCGGGCUGCUCACAGGCCACACUCGGACCGGCCAGCAGCCCAAACUUGGACGACCCAUCUGCACUGAGUCCCCAGAGCUGCAGCACAGGUCCGGGUAAAGCAAAGGCUGGCUCUGCCGCUCCUAUGAGCCUGCUCGGGAGCUAUUUCUUGGGUAGUGCGGCCUCCAGGGUCCUGUAAGCGACUGAGUAGCUGGUGCGGACAUGGGGCUGCUUCAAAAGAAAGAAAGAGUUGUAUACGAGGGGCUCCAGAGACCAGAGCAGUUCGGGCGCAGAGUGCAACGCCAGGCAGAGUAGGCAGCACUGCCAGCCAAUGGCCGCUUCUGACAGACACCCACUGGCGGCAUUGGCCAGAGUGGCUGCUCUCGGAGACGCGCUCCGAGUCCUGACUUUAUCUGAAUGAAGCAAAGGAGCCCUCCAGGGAUCGACCUCAUAAGGGGCAGCAGAAGCUCAGGAGAAAGAGAGUAGGAGCUUCCACCGUCUCAGCACAGAUUUCUGACCAAAUGCAUUCCCUCCCCCAGACUCGUGUCCAAGACUUCAAGCAAGGUGAUGGUAGCUGGUAACCUCCAAGCCGUUCUGGCUGUGAGGAUGAAGCCACCCGGUUACGUGUCACUUCUCACCAAUAAAGAAUCAACAUGUCUUUGGACACAUAGGAAAGAUCCUGGUGCAGUGCAAGCUGCUCUAUUCCUCUGAUCCAGUUUUGAGUCCUGCACCAGUGUUGCCGUGCAUGUCACAGUCCACCCAGUGAGGCUGUUACUGUGAAGAGCUACCGUGGCUCAUUUCUUCUUCUGUUCAGAAAGACUUGCUGACCCUUGAUCAAGCCUAUUUUCACCCACGUCGCAUUACCCCUGCUCUCCAUCCUUCUGGAAGAUUCCCCUUGCUGACCUUCUGGUGUGGCUGAAGCAGACCUGACUUCUCCUUAAGCAGCUGGUUUAGUUUUCUAGCCCUACAGCACCUGCAGUGUCUCAUGGGAAGAAAACACCACAACUUGGUUCUGAUCAAAUUUCAAUGUGUCUGGCAGUAUGGAUCACCCAAGCUUCAGUCGCACCCCUAGGCAAGCUUAAUCCUAUGGUGGGUGAGGGAAUAGUAAGCAUUUCCAGGGGAAAAUGAUCAAACCUUCAUUCUUUAAAAAGAUGUAUAUCUGUUUGAAAUUUGUCUCACAUUAAACAUUUUUUAAGACUACUGAUACUUUAAAAUAUAAUUUAAAACAAUUUAUGUAGGAUUUCAGUGUUUGCAGAUGGACCAUUGUUCUACUACUUUACGGAGUGUGACUAAGAUAAAAUGACUAUUUCAAUUUUUUUAAAAAUGUAUUAGAGUAAAAGACAUAUAGCUACUAAUCCUCUUCAAAACUCACUCUGUCUCGGAACAAGUUUUUCCCAUUUGUCUUGACACUUCUGAAGUAGAUCUGAAGUCCACUUUCAUGAGUGUCUUUCAUUGGUCCAUUUACACUGCCUAGAUGUCCCGAAUUGUUACACACCAUUUACCUUUCUUGGUCCUUUUGACUUUGGGGGACAGGAGAGUAGCAUGGUGUCAGACCCAUUGGAUAAGACAGAUGAGGGCAAACUGGGAAGUUUUUACUUUCCUGACUUUAUGGCAUGCAGCGCUCGGCAGCUGACUUUUGAUCAGGCCCCUGAAGGCACUCCCGAGGGAGGACUCCCAGAACGGCCUCAGGAAGAGGCAAGAGCAACGUGAUCAGUGCGUGUGAAUGUAAAUCAAGGGGGAGGAGUAUUAGGGGGAUCAAUGGCAAUGUGUCCUUAACUGUAAAAUACUUUUAUUAAUAUUCACCGUACAUUUCUCACACCUUGUAUGUCACACACACACACACACACACACACGCACACACGCACACACGCACACACACACACACAAAUCAUGGUGGACACAACUGCUAUAGUUUGGAAACUAAACGUCCCCUACAGGCUCCCGAGUGGGGCUUCUGGGAGACUGUGGAACUUGUACAAAUCUCUGCUGCCUUGGGGGAAAUCCUCAGAUCCUUGCGAUUAUGCCCUUGUGGAGACAGUAGAUCUCCAUUGCCUUCCUUUCUCUGUUUCAUUUCCUCCUCACACACUGAGCAGUUUUUUCUGCCACACGCUCCUCACCAUCACCUGGUGCCAUCAGAUGUCCAAAGCAGGGGGACUGCCUGUCCAGACCCAGGACUGGGCUCUCCAAAGCCAUGAGCCAAAGCAAAUCUUUGUAUCUGAGGUCCCUCUUUAAGGUGACUGACACAAAGUAAGAGUAAAUGAAAGACUGACUCCCUAGAAAUGAUUAUGGCAUAUUUCAUACUGCAGCAUCAUUAACCACAGAGAUUUUUAGGUUUACACUUCUAAGUAGAUACAAUAAAACACGGUAGGAUUCAUACUAUUUGUGCCAGAAAUCAGUGGUAAAUCUUAUUUUCUGUUGUUAUCAUUCCUCUCUGGCUGUUUUUAAGAACUGUCUUUAUUAAAGGUUUUCAGAAAGUUGAUUGUACUGUGCUUUGCAAUUAUUUCCUUUCUAUGUAUCCUGCCUAUGGUGGUUAUUUUAGCUUCUUUUCUUUUUCUCUUUUUUCUUAAAUUUUUAUUGGUACAUUUUAGGUACACAAUACAUUUACAUUUAUUAUUACAUACUUGUACCUGUACACGAUGUAUCUUCGUUCAUAUUUUUCCCCAUUCCCUCCCCUCACUUCACCCCCUAUACCCUUCCCUAUUUAUGAAGACUUUGUUACCAUGUUUUCCUUUUCUCAUAAUUUUU
ensembl:lncRNA